ensembl:lncRNA
CUAGGUUACUGAUUAGUAAGCAACUCCCUUCACCUGGUUGUCUAGGUAACUAAUUAGUAAGGAACUCCCCUCACCUGGUUGUCUAGGUUACUAAUUAGUAAGCAACUACCUUCACCUGGUUGUCUGGGUAACUAAUUAGUAAGGAACUCCCCUCACCUGGUUGUCUAGGUUACUAAUUAGUAAGGAACUGCCCUCACCUGGUUGUCUAGGCUACUAAUUAGUAAGGAACUGCCCUCACCUGGUUGUCUAGGCUACUAAUUAGUAAGGACCUGCCCUCACCUGGUUGUCUAGGCUACUAAUUAGUAAGGAACUGCCCUCACCUGGUUGUCUAGGCUACUAAUUAGUAAGGAACUGCCCUCACCUGGUUGUCUAGGCUACUAAUUAGUAAGGAACUGCCCUCACCUGGUUGUCUAGGCUACUAAUAGUAAGGAACUGCCCUCACCUGGUUGUCUAGGCUACUAAUUAGUAAGGAACUGCCCUCACCUGGUUGUCUAGGUUACUAAUUAGUAAGGAACUGCCCUCACCUGGUUGUCUAGGCUACUAAUUAGUAAGGAACUCCCCUCACCUGGUUGUCUAGGCUACUAAUUAGUAAAGAACUGCCAUCACCUGGUUGUCAAGGCUACUAAUUAGUAAGGAACUGCCCUCACCUGGUUGUCUAACUCUUUGAGAGGAAACACCAGACCUGACAUUAGACAGUCAUUCAUAAGGGAGGGAGGGAGAAACAUUUUAAGACUGUUGGGACUAGCUUUUAGCUAGUGAGUCAUGACGUCAUGAUACCCUCAGUGUUAGAGACAGCAUCUAUUGAGAGAACCCUGCUGAAAACUAGUGAGUCAUGACACCCUCAGUGUUAGAGACAGCAUCUAUUGAGAGAACCCUGCUGAAGACUAGUGAGUCAUGACACCCUCAGUGUUAGAGACAGCAUCUAUUGAGAGAACCCUGCUGAAGACUAGUGAGUCAUGACAUCAUGAUGCCCUCAGUGUUAGACAACAUCUAUUGAGAGAACCCUGCUGAAGACUAGUGAGUCAUGACAUCAUGUUUCCCUCAGUGUUAGACAGCAUCUAUUGAGAGAACCCUGCUGAAGACUAGUGAGUCAUGACGUCAUGAUGCCCUCAGUGUUAGAGACAGCAUCUAUUGAGAGAACCCUGCUGAAGACUAGUGAGUCAUGACAUCAUGAUGCCCUCAGUGUUAGACAACAUCUAUUGAGAGAACCCUGCUGAAGACUAGUGAGUCAUGACAUCAUGAUGCCCUCAGUGUUAGAGACAGCAUCUAUUGAGAGAACCCUGCUGAAGACUAGUGAGUCAUGACAUCAUGAUGCCCUCAGUGUUAGAGACAGCAUCUAUUGAGAGAACCCUGCUGAAGACUAGUGAGUCAUGACAUCAUGAUGCCCUCAGUGUUAGACAGCAUCUAUUGAGAGAACCCUGCUGAAGACUAGUGAGUCAUGACAUCAUGAUGCCCUCAGUGUUAGAGACAGCAUCUAUUGAGAGAACCCUGCUGAAGACUAGUGAGUCAUGACAUCAUGAUGCCCUCAGUGUUAGAGACAGCAUCUAUUGAGAGAACCCUGCUGAAGACUAGUGAGUCAUGACAUCAUGAUGCCCUCAGUGUUAGACAGCAUCUAUUGAGAGAACCCUGCUGAAGACUAGUGAGUCAUGACGUCAUGAUGCCCUCAGUGUUAGACAGCAUCUAUUGAGAGAACCCUGCUGAAGACUAGUGAGUCAUGACGUCAUGAUGCCCUCAGUGUUAGAGACAGCAUCUAUUGAGAGAACCCUGCUGAAGACUAGUGAGUCAUGACAUCAUGAUGCCCUCAGUGUUCGAGACAGCAUCUAUUGAGAGAACCCUGCUGAAGACUUGAACUCAGGCUAAGAUGCUAUUUAUGAAACGAAAUGUCGUGUAUAUAGAAAUGCAUUCCUCAAUGGUGUUAUUAUUGUUAAAGCUUUAUUUAACUUGGCAAGUCAGUUAAGAACAAAUUCUUAUUUACAAAGACGGCCUACAGGGGCAGAACGACUGAUUUUAACCUUGUUCAGCUCGGGGAUUCGAUCCAUCAACUUGCCCAUCUCUCUAACCACUAGGCUACCUGCCUCCCAAGCAGUAUGGUUGAUUCACUAUCAGGUUUUCAUUCUGAGUGUUAAAUUUAUUGAAUUGAUCUGAUGAGUAUUGUAGAUGUGUGGAAACAGGAGAGGCAGGGCUGUGGUCAGAGGAUGUUGCUGACAGACAGAAGGUUUUAGAUGUGUGGAAACAGGAGAGGCAGGGCUGUGGUCAGAGGAUGUUGCUGACAGACAGAAGGUUGUAGAUGUGGGGAAACAGGAGAGGCAGGGCUGUGGUCAGAGGAUGUUGCUGACAGACAGAAGGUUUUAGAUGUGGGGAAACAGGAGAGGCAGGGCUGUGGUCAGAGGAUGUUGCUGACAGGCAGAAGGUUGUAGAUGUGUGGAAACAGGAGAGGCAGGGCUGUGGUCAGAGGAUGUUGCUGACAGACAGAAGGUUUUAGAUGUGGGGAAACAGGAGAGGCAGGGCUGUGGUCAGGAUGUUGCUGACAGACAGAAGGUUGUAGACGUGUGGAAACAGGAGAGGCAGGGCUGUGGUCAGAGGAUGUUGCUGACAGACAGAAGGUUGUAGAUGUGUGGAAACAGGAGAGGCAGGGCUGUGGUCAGAGGAUGUUGCUGACAGGCAGAAGGUUGUAGAUGUGUGGAAACAGGAGAGGCAGGGCUGUGGUCAGAGGAUGUUGCUGACAGGCAGAAGGCUGUAGAUGUGUGGAAACAGGAGAGGCAGGGCUGUGGUCAGAGGAUGUUGCUGACAGACAGAAGGUUGUAGACGUGUGGAAACAGGAGAGGCAGGGCUGUGGUCAGAGGAUGUUGCUGACAGAC